rnacentral:rRNA from 1 species
GUCUACGACCAUGCCACCCUGAACAAGCCCGAUUUCUGAUCUUGGAAGCUAAGCAGGGUUGGGCUUGGUUAGUACUUGGAUGGGAGACCACCUAGGAAGACCAGGUGGUGUAGGCA